AUUUCCAUUAAUCUUUAGAAGUUUUGUUGGGUAACUUGGCUUGGUUUCUUGGAUUAUAACUUAACUGUGUUGUUUUAUAUUUGGGAUUUUUUUUUUUUAAUUUAAGAUGUUUUAUUAUGUAUUCAUGGUGAUUACAUUGGAUACUAUAUGUAUCUCUUUUGAAUUUGUUGGAUUGAAUGGAUUUUAAUUAAUAUUAUUUGUUUUUAGUUUUUA
rnacentral:lncRNA from 1 species